UUUAGCUGCAGAAGAAGCACCGGCUAACUCCGUGCCAGCAGCCGCGGUAAUACGGAGGGUGCGAGCGUUUAAUCGGAAUUACUGGGCGUAAAAGCGCAUGCAGGUGGUUUGUUAAGUCAGAUGUGAAAGCCCGGGGCUCAACCUCGGAAUUGCAUUUGAAACUGGCAAACUAGAGUACUGUAGAGGGGGUAGGAAUUUCAGGUGUAGCGGUGAAAUGCGUAGAGAUCUGAAGGAAUACCGGUGGCGAAGGCGGCCCCCUCGGACAGAUACUGACACUCAGAUGCGAAAGACGUGGGGAGGCAAACAGGAUUAGAUACCCUGGUAG
rnacentral:rRNA from 1 species